rnacentral:sRNA from 1 species
AGACUAAUGUACGGGACUUUUUAGAAAAUCUGGUUAACCUUAAGUUCAUGGAAGACUAUGUCAUGAUCGGCGUUUGCCAAACUGGGGAGGGUUUUAACAGAUUGUACAAGUGAGGGGAGGUUUGUCAAAAAGAGGUCAAGUAUGUUGGAAUUUCUAGUUGGAGUUUUAACCAUUUGCUCCAAGUUCAGGUUAACCAGAUUUUCUAAAAAGUCUUCGUACAUUAGUUUGAAUUUGCAGUUAGUCUUGAGUGAUUCAUUUGUCCAGUCUAUAUCAGGUAGGUUAAAGUCACCCAAGAGCCAAAUAAUGCUGUUUUUGGGGAUCUUUUUAAUAGAUGACCAUAAUUACUUUCAUGAUUCAGUGUCGUCUUCAUGGGGCUUGUACUAGGAUCCUAUGAAGAUGGAGCGAACUCCGGGAUGGUGACCUUGGUCCAGCAUAAGUUUCAGUUCGCUUUCAGGUCUUGUUGUUCUUGGCUAAGUAGGGUUUUGGUUACGGCCUAUUAGCACAACUACCAACCUUGGAGUGUGUGCGGUCAUCACAAUGGCAUUAUAAUUAGAGAGUCCGGGAAUUUUCUUAGGUAUUGGCUCAGUUUGAGCCAAGUCUCAGUGCACCUUUACAUCAGGUUUGUUUGUUUAUUACCU